rnacentral:rRNA from 1 species
GACGAACGCUGGCGGCGUGCUUAACACAUGCAAGUCGAACGGAAAGGCCCUGCUUUUGUGGGGUGCUCGAGUGGCGAACGGGUGAGUAACACGUGAGUAACCUGCCCUUGACUUUGGGAUAACUUCAGGAAACUGGGGCUAAUACCGGAUAGGAGCUCCUGCUGCAUGGUGGGGGUUGGAAAGUUUCGGCGGUUGGGGAUGGACUCGCGGCUUAUCAGCUUGUUGGUGGGGUAGUGGCUUACCAAGGCUUUGACGGGUAGCCGGCCUGAGAGGGUGACCGGCAACAUUGGGACUGAGAUACGGCCCAGACUCCUACGGGAGGCAGCAGUGGGGAAUAUUGCACAAUGGGCGGAAGCCGGAUGCAGCAACGCCGCGUGCGGGAUGACGGCCUUCGGGUUGUAAACCGCUUUCGCCUGUGACGAAGCGUGAGUGACGGUAAUGGGGAAAGAAGCACCGGCUAACUACGU